rnacentral:rRNA from 1 species
UGGGGAAUCUUGCGCAAUGGGCGAAAGCCUGACGCAGCAACGCCGCGUGCGGGAAGAAGGUCUUAGGGUUGUAAACCGCUUUCAGUAGGGACGAAGGCAAUCAGGUUAAUAGCCUGUGCGUUGACGGUACCUACAGAAGAAGGUCCGGCUAACUACGUGCCAGCAGCCGCGGUAAUACGUAGGGACCGAGCGUUGUCCGGAAUCAUUGGGCGUAAAGAGCGUGUAGGCGGCCAAUUAAGUCCUGCGUGAAAUCUCGGGGCUCAACCCCGAGCGGUCGUGGGAAACUGGUUGGCUAGAGUGCGGGAGAGGAGAGUGGAAUUCCUGGUGUAGCGGUGAAAUGCGCAGAUAUCAGGAAGAACACCCGUGGCGAAGGCGGCUCUCUGGAACGCAACUGACGCUGAGACGCGAAAGCGUGGGGAGCAAACAG